UACAGAGGGGGCAAGCGUUGUUCGGAUUUACUGGGCGUAAAGGGCGCGUAGGCGGCGCAACAAGUCACUUGUGAAAUCUCCGGGCUUAACCCGGAGCGGUCAAGUGAUACUGUCGUGCUAGAGUGCGGUAGGGGAGACUGGAAUUCCUGGUGUAGCGGUGAAAUGCGCAGAUAUCAGGAGGAACACCGGUGGCGAAGGCGGGUCUCUGGGCCGUAACUGACGCUGAGGAGCGAAAGCAUGGGGAGCGAACAGG
rnacentral:rRNA from 1 species